CCUACGGGAGGCUGCAGUGAGGAAUAUUGGUCAAUGGGCGCGAGCCUGAACCAGCCAAGUAGCGUGCAGGAUGACUGCCCUACGGGUUGUAAACUUCUUUUAUAAAGGAAUAAAGCGAGGUACGUGUGCCUCUUUGUAUGUACUUUAUGAAAAAGCAUCGGCUAAUUCCGUGCCAGCAGCCGCGGUAAUACGGAGGAUGCGAGCGUUAUCCGGAUUUCUUGGGUUUACAGGGUGCGUAGGCGGGUUAUCAAGUCAGCGGUAAAAUCGUGGAGCUCAACUGCAUCUAGCCGUUGAAACUGAUGAUCUUGAGUGGGCGGGAAGCAUGCGGAAUGCGUGGUGUAGCGGUGAAAUGCAUAGAUAUCACGAAGAACUCCGAUUGCGAAGGCAGCAUGCCGGCGCCCGACUGACGCUGAAGCACGAAAGCGUGGGUAUCGAACAGGAUUAGAUACCCGUGUAGUC
rnacentral:rRNA from 1 species